rnacentral:lncRNA from 1 species
CGCAGCUAAGUCGCAAGAGAGUAGCAGCUAAGUCGCAAGUGAAAAAAAAGAGAGAGGAAAGUGUGCCCCUUUGAAGCCACCGUACAUUUGGCGCCCCAUAGUACACAUUGCCCUUCGUGUAGUGGACUGGAAAUGACAGAUGCUAUCAACAUGGCUGCCAGUGAAACUGAAGAAAUCGACGUAGCGAAGGAGUUUAAUCUUCUCCCGAUAAUAUUCGAAACUAUUUAGGCGCUGCAGAAGACAAACGAUCCCCAGGAGUUUACAAAGAAGGAUAAUGGUUUCCGUGCGAAGUUGCAACAUUGCAGAGCGUUGUUAGACAAGAUACCAGGGAUAGAAAUGAGCUGUGAAGAACAGAAGGGACUAUUAAUUAAGUGUAAAACCCAGUACACUGAAAAAUGUGAGCUGCUGAAAAAUUACAGAAACCUACCAGUGUUUGCAGAAGCUUUUGUCAAGGAGACAAAAUAGUUGAAAUCUGUGAUGUCAACAACACCAGUUGGAAGAUGCAGAGGUAAAAAACAAAACUGAGGAUGCUGAUGUGCUGUUGGGAAAAGCUUCAUUCCCUUGGAAUGAGAGAAAAUUCUUCCUACUUCUAGAGUUGAAAGUGGGAGUACUCAAUCAUUCUCUUUGUUAUAACGAGGGAGGGUGUUUGCUGCACAAACUCUGAUUAAUCCUAGUGUUUACCAAACAACCCCUUUUUCAGUCUGCAUAGUCAACCUCUUUGUUGCAGACUUUCCAUUUUCAGAAAUACUUAAGCUGAUGCAGUGCAGAAAUACAUAUGCAGAAAUAUUUAAGCUUAUGCAGUGCGACAAGUGGGUCUGAAAGAGAGGCCUUUUUAGAAAUCAGUUUGAAAUAAUUCACAGUAGAGCUAAUUGUCAAAAAGUAAUUCUUAACUCUGAUCAAUUUCCUUGCGAGUUCUAUCCCUAUUUUAGGGUGUAAAUAAUAACCAAAUGUUCCUAUUCAUUAUUUUUAUUCACUCGAAAGAAAACAUUAUGUGAGUUGAAAUUAAUAACACUGUUGUGUUAACUGGGGAAGCAGUAAAUACACAGACAAACCAAGUAUAAAGAAAAUCCUCUUUUCAAAAGAGGAUGUAUCACUAACCAUCUCUAUCAAUCAGAUGUAGGUAUUGGUUACGCAUUGCCAUUCUGAAAGCUCCAUAAAGACAUAUCUGUGUGCUUCCAUUAACAUUUUGAGCAUGUUAUGCAUUUCACAAGAUUUAUUAACAAAAUUAGCAGAAGGAACAAGUGAUCAAGUUUUGGUUACUAAUAAAAUACCUUUUUAAUUUUGCUCUUUUUUUUUUUUUGUCAUCUAUUCCUUUGCUCUUCCUGUAAGGUUUUAUCAAAAUGUGAUCUGUUCAUGUGAUGACAUCUGGGAAAUAAUUAGAUUCUACACUUUUUAAGUAUACACUGAGAACAACUGAAAUUAGAUGUUUAACUUAUUUAUGACUGAGACUUAUUUAUAUCUACUUAGAUACUUUGACAGUGUUUUCUCUGGAUUUAGGUUUUGCAUCACAUAUUCUAAACUAGCUUAGCAGUGGUUCUCUGUGGCAUAUCUGGAGAUGAUAGAAACACAUAUUUUUACAGUUGUUGUACCAUCAAACAAUGAAGACCUCUCUUUUCAGUGGGAGUUUCAGCAGAGGAGCCCUAACUGUGCAAAUCCAAUGUGCACUUGGUUGAGAAACAGAGAUGCCUUGCUUGCCUCCCCUAUACAUUUGAGUGCUAUACUCUAACUAUUUGUGGAGAUUUUACCUACACUACAUCCCUAAAGGGCAAGCUUUAAUCUAUCUUGGGGAAGCUAUGUUUAUGUUUGUUUACAGGGUCAUUUUAUCACAAGGAAAAUAGAUUGUUUUGAAGCUGUGUUACUUUUGCAAAUAAGCUCGGAAUAUUGAGGGGUGGUAUUAGUUUAUCUAAAGUUGCUCAGGGAUUUGCCACAGACAACAUGAGAUGAGGCUUUCAGUGAAUACCCAACCACAAGUUGCACUUUCAAAAGGUGGCUUAAAAAGUUAAAUCUUCACAACUGUUGAACUGAGUUUUUCCUGUAAUUUUCUCUUUGGAUAACAUUCCAGAGUGUAUAGACUAUGGUUAUGGUUUUAAAGUGAAAGAUGUACCAACCUGCUGUGAUUUUUAACAUGGUGCACUGUAGAAAAAUUCUUACUCUGAAUUAAUGUUGGGUUUUAAGUAUUGUGUGCUCAGAACCACUUUGUUCUUCUCGUGGGUUCCAAAUGGUGUUAAUUAACACUUGACCAUAUGCUGUUUAACUCCAAAUAAACCACAUCAUGCUCUUUGA